rnacentral:rRNA from 1 species
AGUGAACGCUGGCGGUAGGCCUAACACAUGCAAGUCGAACGGCAGCACAGUAAGAGCUUGCUCUUACGGGUGGCGAGUGGCGGACGGGUGAGGAAUACAUCGGAAUCUACUUUUUCGUGGGGGAUAACGUAGGGAAACUUACGCUAAUACCGCAUACGACCUACGGGUGAAAGCAGGGGAUCUUCGGACCUUGCGCGAUUGAAUGAGCCGAUGUCGGAUUAGCUAGUUGGCGGGGUAAAGGCCCACCAAGGCGACGAUCCGUAGCUGGUCUGAGGGGAUGAUCAGCCACACUGGAACUGAGACACGGUCCAGACUCCUACGGGAGGCAGCAGUGGGGAAUAUUGGACAAUGGGCGCAAGCCUGAUCCAGCCAUACCGCGUGGGUGAAGAAGGCCUUCGGGUUGUAAAGCCCUUUUGUUGGGAAAGAAAAGCAGCAGGUUAAUACCCCGCUGUUCUGACGGUACCCAAAGAAUAAGCUCCGGCUAACUUCGUG